rnacentral:rRNA from 1 species
UAGACUACUCAUAUCAAUAAGGAAUUUUCCGGAGCCCAUUCAAACAGAACUCCCAGGUUAAGCAUGCUAGGCUUGGAGUAGUUCUAGGAUGGGUGACCAACCGGGAAGU